GCCCUGGCGCCGCCGGCCGCCGGCCCGGGAUGGGCGACUGCGAGCUGGGGUCUCCGGGUGUGUUGGAUGACCUCUCCGCUGCGGCCCGAGUGGUCCAGAGGCCGUCUCUUUGGCUAAAACAGGUCCAUGAUUAACCGAAAAAAGUUCACAAGCAUAGAAGGGAGAAAUUCUGGGACAUGGAGGGGUCAUGUGCUCUACUCCUGAUAUCUUCCCAGUGGACCUUCCUGCGCCCCACCUGCUGUGUCUGGCAGUCAUUUCCAGAAGAGCAGAACCACCCAGACUAUUCCACAUCUUUGUGCCCAUUUUUCACUCCCUUCUGGCUGUACCUCAAACGAUAUCCAAUAGAUAUGACUUUUCACUGUUCCCCGCUUCAGCUUCAACAAAGGUGGUCGAGGGGGUUGACCAACAUUUUGUUUGCUUAGCAUUAAUUCAUUAAACUGUGAUGCUAUUUUUAAUUUUAA